UUGUGUUCUUAUUUGGAGAGUUUUACAGUACGGAUAUCUUAUGUUAUUGGCCGCCGUAGAGAAGAUGUUACACUUUCUUGAUUUUAAUUAAUUAUACUUUGUGGUUUCAAAGGAAGAGCUUGAGGAGGGUGUACAAACAACCAUAUAUGAUGAUUACAAAUUUUUGACAAAAGAGGACUUCACUAAACUGAAUCUGACAAAUUUGAUUGGGACCAAUCUUAUGCAUGGUUACUUUGUACGUUAUCGAUUGUAUAAAAAGGUUAAAACUCAUAACUUGGGAACAGCCAGAUAUGAGCAUCAAGUUCUUUGCCUCCAAAUGUUACUCACUGCUUUAGUCUGCCAAUUGUUUACAAUAUGAACCUCCCACUGUGGCAUAUGUUAGCUGUGCUAAUUAAUUGACUAUCUUAAUGCAGGCACAAAGCUUGGCUGAACCGUUUGCUUAUGAGUCUAACAUAGAAAAGCAAAAGCAGGAAAAAUCAGUCUGAUGCGAGAAUAGAAUUACGGACUUUGGCAGCCCGACUUGUUGAAGCAGAGGAGAGCAAAAUGAUGAGAAGGUUGCUGAAGGUGCUAAGAAGGGACCAAAGAGGAAGAGAGGUCUCACCACUGAAGUUGUUAAGGAUGAGCUGUGUACUUUAUAUAUGUUUGAAGAUAACUUCAAAUUUUUGUAGAGUAAAUGAUGAUUGCUUGUGAAAUUAACUAGUAACCAUAAUAGAACUUAUGUCCCUACUCAAGUAUGUUGUGUCUUACUGUAUAUAAUUACAUAAAACAUGAAAACAGGGAUAAAAGGCAUAGAGAGGUUGGGUAUCAUAUGCUUUUGAGGCACUAGCUGACAUGAGUUCAUCAAUUCAGUUAUGUUUGUCCUCUUAUUUUAGGUAGUUGGCUGGUUUUUAUGGUAGUUUAUGGUACUACAAGAGGAGAAAUGGACAGUUUUGGCAGUGGAGAGAUUUCUUACAUAAUGUCACGGGUGUGUAAAAUCUGUUCAGUGGGUGUUGUAGGUUUAAUUUUUGUGGUAUAUUCUCUCUUCUCCAAUGUUAUCAGCACCCACCCUUUCUGUAGCAGUCACUCUUAUUGCUUCUCUGGUUUUCUUCCACGACAAGAUGAAUGCUGCGAAGAUAAUUGCUAUGUUGUUGGCGUUUUGCGGCUUUGCUUCUUACACAUAUAUCAGAACUGUCUUGAUGAUCUUGAGGUGAGGAAGAAUCAAAAUGAAUCUUGUGAUGCCAUCAACACAGAUAUUGCACAAGAUGAAAUAUGCCUCAAAUGAAAAUGAACCCACCAACCCAGACAGAAUAGAAGACAAUGGAAUUAGCCUC